rnacentral:rRNA from 1 species
GACUCUCGACAACGGAUAUUUCGGCUCUCGUACCGAUAAAAACGUAAUGAAAUUAGAUAUUUUGUGUGAAUUUCAGAAUCCCAUUAACCAUGUCUUUGAACUUAAUUUGUGCUCGAAGCCAUUAGGCCGGAGGCACGUAUGCCUGGGCGUUU